rnacentral:rRNA from 1 species
UACGGAGGGUGCGAGCGUUAUCCGGAAUUACUGGGCGUAAAGCGCGUGUAGGCGGCAAGGCAGGUCGGAUGUGAAAGCCCGCGGCUCAACCGUGGAAGUGCACUCGAAACCGCCUAGCUGGAGUCUCGGAGAGGAAGGUGGAAUGCUUGGUGUAGAGGUGAAAUUCGUAGAUAUCAAGCAGAACACCUGUGGCGAAGGCGGCCUUCUGGACGAUGACUGACGCUGAGACGCGAAAGCGUGGGGAGCAAACAGG